UACGAAGGGGGCUAGCGUUGCUCGGAAUUACUGGGCGUAAAGCGCACGUAGGCGGCUUGUUAAGUCAGGGGUGAAAUCCUGGAGCUCAACUCCAGAACUGCCUUUGAUACUGGCGAGCUUGAGUUCGGGAGAGGUGAGUGGAACUGCGAGUGUAGAGGUGAAAUUCGUAGAUAUCAGGAGGAACACCUGUGGCGAAAGCGGCUCACUGGACCACAACUGACGCUGAUGCACGAAAGCGUGGGGAUCAAACAGG
rnacentral:rRNA from 1 species